rnacentral:rRNA from 1 species
CGCCGAUUAAAGUGGCACGCGAGCUGGGUUCAGAACGUCGUGAGACAGUUCGGUCCUUAUCCACUGUGGGCGCAGGAAACUUGAGGGGUUCAAUCCCCAGUACGAGAGGACCGGGAUUGACGUACCUAUGGUGUGGCAGUUGUUCCAUCAGGGGCAGCGCUGCGUAGCCAAGUACGGAAGAGAUAAGCGCUGAAAGCAUCUAAGUGCCAAGCUCGUUCCAAGAUGAAGUUUCCCACUCCUCGUGAGUGUAAGACCCCCGGAAGACUACCGGGUUGAUAGGCCAGAGGUGUAAGUGUGGCAACACAUUCAGCUGACUGGUACUAAUCGGUCGAGGGCUUGAUUAC